UCAUGUCGCCGGGGCUCCGGAGGAGGGCCACUCUGUAAAAGCGGCCGCCAGAUGGCGCCCAACAACCGGCGCGGAGGGGUCAGCGGGAGGGAACCGGGUCACCGGCCAGCGAGAGUGCACAGCCUGAGCCCACCGCCGGGUCAGGUCUCUCUCUGUCUACCUCUGUCUCUGUCUCUCUGUCUCUCUGUCUCUGACUCUGUCUCUCUCUCUCUUUCUCUCUGGGCCCGCUUGGGGCGGCCGGGAGGUCACCACGCGAGGCCCCAGGAUGUCCACCUCGGAGCUCCCAGGCAGCACAGGGCAACCCUGGGCGCAGAAGGAGGUCUUGGAAAAUCGGCGGGGAGGGGGGUGGGGUGGGUGGGCUUGCCAGGAAGGGGACAGACUCCCCACGUGACUCCUGGGCCGGGCCGGGGCUGCCGGCUGGCUGACGCGGACAGAGGGUGGAAAAGUCCCCGGAGAUGCCACGGGGCAGGCCGGGGCUGCCGGCCCCCGAUUCCCUGAGCGGCCCGAGCACUUCCCGGGUCCCGGGAGGACUUAGAAAAUCAGGGCGGGGUGGGGGGUGGGGGUCGCUGUCAAACCGAAACCAUGCACGUCAUCAGAGAAGGACCGUGACGACGGAGGAAUUGUCCGCAGUCUGUCAGGAAUUGUGUGCAGCCUGUCACUUCCGGCCCAGAGGGUCUUUCUAAGGCAGACGGACAGACGGAGCCCACAAGUCGUAGAGGAAAGGACCGAGCCGCUUGGCCGCUGAAAAGUUUACAAGACAAAACGGGUCUCCCUCCGCACGGGGCCACAGCAAAGCCCAAAGACGACACACGGGGGGAGCAUGGGUGCAGAUUCACGUGUGGUGAUAAGAAUAUGGAUUUCAGCAGGGCUUCCCGUCCUCAUCAACAAGCAGAAGCACCCAAAUGGUGCGGGUUGGGGGCAGAGACCUCACAGCCAUUCCCUCCACAAAUCGAGUUCCCCGGGACAUCCUCACAGCGCCGUGCUGUGAGUGUGUGUGGGUGUUUAAAAUGGGGUAAAUGUGGACGUGGAACUGCUCCGUGAAACCAAAAUAACAACAGUCGUAGAUCUUCUUUGGUCAUUUAGAAAAUUCUUCCCCCUCCCCCCCCCAGCGGUGCACGUAUUUCCCUUCCAAAUAAGAAGAACGGGAAAGGAGAUGUUAAAGGCAAGCAGAGAGAGGAAAACUGUUGCAAAACAAAAGCUGAGCUCCCGUCCGAGGGAGGCCUCCUCCGUUAGAGGCCUAGGAAAUCAUUCUGACAAAAUGGAGGAUCUCUGUCUUUGGUGUCGAUUCCCUCAGAGGUCAAGAGAAACCUUUUCCAAUGUCUUUAUCAGGAGGAGACUAGAAGUUAGAGAAAAGUAUCCUUUCGAGAGCGAGAAAAACCAAUUCUGAUUUUGCAUCAGCUUCCCUCCGAUCUUGAAACUCAUUGACUUGAUUCCAUUCUGUCGAUGGAAAUAAUCCGGAACCAAUCUAUCCGUGAAAAUCGGGGCUGGCCCUGAGCUAACCUCCGUGCCCAUCUUCCUCUAUUUCAUAUGUGGGACGCCUACCACCACGUGGCUCGCCCAGCGGUGCCACGUCCACCCCCGGGAUCCGAACCGGCGAACCCCGGGCCGGCGAAGUGGAACAGGCACACUUAACCAGCGCGCCACUGGGCCGGCCUAGUGGCUUUCAUCGCAUUCGUUAAGUAGAAUUUUUAACCCUCACGAACCUUAAUUUUGGUGAAAACUAAGAAGUCAGCAAUUAGGAACUGUCCUUCCCAUGAGCAGUCUGUCGCUUGGCCAAUUUCUAAACACUUGGCCACUUUUAGAAACAUGGGAUUUCAUAGGUUUAUCUCUUCCUUCGCUUUAUUUGAUUUCAUCUCACUUUAGUUUUUGGGUGAGGAAGAUCGGCCCUCACAGAGCUGACGCCUGUUGCCAAUCUUCCUCUUCUUUCUGCUUGAGGGAGAGCGGGCCCGAGGUAACACCUGCGCCCCACUUCCUUGAUCUUGCGGACGGGAUGCCACCACAGCCCGGAGUGAGGAGCGGUGGAGGUCCACGCCCGGGAUCUGAACCCGAGGACCCCAGGCUGCCGAAGCUGAGUGCAGGAGCUUAACCACUAUGCCGCCGUGCCGCCGUCCCCUGUCAAAGCUUUUAAUAAAGCACGAGACGUGUUCCUCGAUA